GAUGAACGCUGGCUCCGUGCCGUCUACUUGCCCCUCUAGCGAGCCGACUAGCGAUCUUCGCGCCUCUGACUUUAGCGGCGGACGGACUGAGUAACACCCUGGAUGACCUACCUAUUAGACUGCGAGCACCUUCUCCACCCCGCACCUGAUGCCGGAUAAUAUAUUGAAGCCCCCGCCUCUCUACCGUCACACGGUUGUGCUGCCUCUUAUGGAUGGAUCCGCCCCCCAGUAGCUACUCGGUAAGCGCACCGCUUGCCGAGGCUACGAUCCGUAGCCCACCUGACAUGGUGAUCGGCCCACCUGCCAACUGAUAUCCUGUCCACACUCCCACUCGAGGCAGCAGCACCGGAUCUUCCCCACUGGGUCAAAGCUUGACGCACCCUCUCCGGGUGCGAGAUGAAGGUCUACGGAUCCUCGACCUCUGUUAUCAUGGAAAAACAGAUGUGUAAGUAACUGUGCACGUCUUGACGGUACCUAGUCUUACAGCCUCUGACAACGACGUGCCAGCACCCGCGGAAAUACCUCUGGGGCAAGCGUGGUCCGGAAUUAUUGCGCAUCACGCGCGCGUCUGCUGAUUUUUAGUCUGAUGUGAAAGCCCACGGCUCAACCGUGGAGGGUCAUUGGAAACUGGAAAACUUGAGUGCAGAAGAGGAAAGUGGAAUUCCAUGUGUAGCGGUGAAAUGCGCAGAGAUAUGGAGGAACACCAGUGGCGAAGGCGACUUUCUGGUCUGUAACUGACGCUGAUGUGCGAAAGCGUGGGGAUCAAACAGGAUUAGAUACCCUGGUAGUCCACGCCGUAAACGAUGAGUGCUAAGUGUUAGGGGGUUUCCGCCCCUUAGUGCUGCAGCUAACGCAUUAAGCACUCCGCCUGGGGAGUACGACCGCAAGGUUGAAACUCAAAGGAAUUGACGGGGACCCGCACAAGCGGUGGAGCAUGUGGUUUAAUUCGAAGCAACGCGAAGAACCUUGCCAAAUCUUGACAUCCUCUGAUCCCUCUAGAGAUAGAGGUUUCCCCUUCGGGGGACAGAGUGACAGGUGGUGCAUGGUUGUCGUCAGCUCGUGUCGUGAGAUGUUGGGUUAAGUCCCGCAACGAGCGCAACCCUUAAGCUUAGUUGCCAUCAUUAAGUUGGGCACUCUAAGUUGACUGCCGGUGACAAACCGGAGGAAGGUGGGGAUGACGUCAAAUCAUCAUGCCCCUUAUGAUUUGGGCUACACACGUGCUACAAUGGACAAUACAAAGGGCAGCGAAACCGCGAGGUCAAGCAAACCCAUAAAGUUGUUCUUAGUUCGGAUUGUAGUCUGCAACUCGACUAUAUGAAGCUGGAAUCGCUAGUAAUCGUAGAUCAGCAUGCUACGGUGAAUACGUUCCCGGGUCU
rnacentral:rRNA from 1 species